rnacentral:lncRNA from 1 species
UUUUUUUGAGACAGGGUCUUGCUCUGUUGCCCAGGCUGGAAGGGACGGAGACAGCUGGCUCUAGCCUCUCUGCACAGAUUCUGCAGCACCCAAAGCCUCACCUUCUGAUCAUCCUGACCUGGGGGUGCCACCUCGGAGGAAACUGGUCCAUAGUUGAUCGUCCAGCUCUCCCACCUACAGAGGACAUUCUUUUCUCUCCCUCUGGCAGCAAUCCCCCAAGCUAAUUCUCCUAGUAACACCCUGUCUUCCACUGUCCCCAGUCCUCUGAGUGUGGCUGGGCACCAGUGGUCUGGGUCUCCUCCCCGAUAGAGACCAUCCUCUCUGGGCAGCAAGGCCCCACUGCUAUCUGCAGGGUUUCCUCCCUCCUCCCUGCCUUCUCCGCCUUCUCCACCUUCUCCUGUCUCCCUGUCUCUGCCUUUCUCUCCUCUCUUUUAUUCUUCCUUGAGCCCUCUUCCUUUGCAUUUCCUCUUGACUCUCCCCUUAGUCUGUCUUUAGCUGCUUCUUUCCAUCCCAUCCUCUUU